GCCGGGGUCUCCUAGGGCAUGAAAUGCGGGGAAUCCGGUAGGGAGCAGGCCUGGAGAGCCUGUGACCCUUAUGGGUCGCGUGGGUUCAAAUCCCACCCCCGGCGCCA
rnacentral:tRNA from 1 species